rnacentral:rRNA from 1 species
CGGGACGGGUGAGUAAUGCUUGGGAAUCUGGCUUAUGGAGGGGGAUAACUACGGGAAACUGUAGCUAAUACCGCGUAGUAUCGGAAGAUGAAAGUGCGGGACCGUAAGGCCGCAUGCCAUGGGAUGAGCCUAAGUGGGAUUAGGUAGUUGGUGGGGUAAAGGCCUACCAAGCCUGCGAUCUCUAGCUGGUCUGAGAGGAUGGCCAGCCACACUGGAACUGAGACACGGUCCAG